CUAGCUAAAGAGGGACCACCCCCUCCUUAAUGA
rnacentral:tRNA from 1 species